GCUGAAGCGUACUCAAAGCUGAAUAGACACCUAUCUAUCUAACGAACGACACCAGUUUGUGUACCUAAACGUUUAACGAGAGCAUUCUUCAAACGUAUACCGUAUCAACAUAUUCAAACUCGUUAACUAUGGGUACGAAACAACAGCGUUAACGCAAAAACAGAAUGAAUGAUAAAGAUAAGGGCUGCAAAAUACACUACCCUUUCUUUUCCUUUAUUUUACACUUUUGAGUACUAUUAACCAGCUCUUUGCUCCUGCCUUCGCUGACGCCGUUGCUCGUCGCUCUCGCUAUUAUGUUGCCAUCGUUGUUUCUACUCUUCUGCUCAGUUCGAGUAAGCCAUUAUUUCUUCUGAUAUUUGAUAUCCAUAGUUACUUUAUACAACUACCCUAAUGGGAGUUUCCUCCCUUUCUUCAUCUGCAAUCGAUUUUACUGCCAAAACUUAUAAACUUUCCAUUUAUCUAUUUUUGUUUACCAUAAUGUCAAAAAACUUUUCGGGAUGUUGUAUUCUCUCGCCGCACCGGUAACGUCGGGGUGCGCCUUAAAAGUGGCCCUGUAAGUAGCCUUCACUCGUCGCUGCUUUAUGUUCCGCGUGUAUAUUACACGUUGACGAAUAUUUGACAGCAGGUACCUACCUUAUAAAGGUAAAAAUACUGCAGAUUAGCCCGAAGUACAUAUGUGUAAGCGUAAGAUAUACUUGAGUUGACAACACAUAGAGAUAGGAUCAAUGCACUCGAGAAGUCGAGAUGGGUAUAGGGUAGGUAGAGGUACCUACAUAAUGAAAUUAUUUUGUCUGCAAGCGUCAAGGAUGCGAAAUUAACCACAUGCUGCUCAAGUGUUCUCUACUCACCCCUAUUCCUAUACGAAUAUAAUUCCAUCUCUACACGUAAGGUCUCAAUAUCACAAAGCGUGCUAGACCUUAUAUUUUAUCGAGAGUAUUUAGAAUUAAACUGCGCAUCCCCCCCUCCUCCUCUCGAAAAGUACCUACUCAGUAUUUGAAAAAAAAGCUUAUACUUAUUCCAUCAUGUAAAGUUUUGCUUGUGUGUUUUUCAUUAAAUUUCUUGAAACUGUUCACCCGCGCGCUGUUUUUCUGCACAUAUGUUUCCAUUCAUUUCUGAUUAGGUGUAAUGUGGCAGUGCUUAAAGUCGUCUCUCGUCUGGUGAUUUGACAAAUGACAGUUUUAAAUUAUUCACUAGAUACGUCUCGCUUUACUAUAUAGAAAACUAUAUGAAUAUUUUAAACUGUCUUCUGUGGGAAAUUGGUUCAUGGAAUUCGGGAUACUACAUCUGGAGUUUGUUUUUUUUUUUUGUAUAGAUUAUCAAGUGUUUCGAUGGAUGUUCAUUUUAAUUAUUUCGUGUACCUACAUGGGCAUUGAAUUCGUAUUUUCUUCAAGUCUUUUUAAAUGUAAAGAACUAUAUUUAGGUACUUACCUACGUGGGUACAUCGGAGUGGAUCGUAAAACAAAAAAUGAAAAAAAUAUUGUAAAAUUUCGAUUCAAUUUCACGGAGAAUAAGGAAUUUUAAUUUAUUGCCUUAAAGUCUCCCAGAAAAAAUUUCAACUUCAGAUGUGUUCCUGUAUACAGGGAAGAAUAUGGGCCCUCUAAAAGGGGGUCUUGUUUGAAGGGGGGAAACAGUUUCAAAAUUUAUUCUGCAUUUCUGUGUCGUUCUAUAGGUAAUACGUAGGUCAUUGUCCUCGAAAUCCAAUAGGUACCAUCGUUUAGAGUUUUACUCAUGGCUGGAAUUUUGUAUGUACAUCACUAUUUUUGGCUGGUUUCAAAAACUAUGUUGGAAAUUUAGAAUAGAUAUGUGGCGGUUCGAUUAUUUAGAUAUUACUGGCUGGUAAACAUAUCAUGUGAUAAGUGACACGAUUGUAUUUACGUUUAUCAGUUUAUGAUGUUACUUCAAAUAAUAAACAUUGCAACUCUCUUGUAUUUCCUACAAAUUGGUGACCCCGACGUAAACAUGGCCAAUCCUGACGGUGACAAUUUUCAAGAUGCAGUUGGUCCAGUUGUAGCUCGCAUUAAUGUUAAAUGCCCACCAUUUUGGCGCGCCGAUCCUACAUUAUGGUUUGUUCAAGUGGAGGCACAGUUUGCGAAUGCUGGGAUUUCUGCGGAUUUAACCAAGCGAUCAGAAACCUUCCAGUCUUUUCAGAAAAAUGAAACAGUUAGCUGAUGGUCAAGCUACAGAUAAUUUCCUGAAAGGUUUAUGGCUGAAAAAAUUACCAGAAAAUGUACACACAGUUUUGGUGUCAAGAAACGAUGGUAUUGAUGAUUUACUCGA